UUCGUAUAGUUAUUUAACAUAAUUUUCAUUUGGUUCAUAAACAUGAAAACAAAAAUGUCCGUAUUUAUCAGUAAAGUUUUCAGUAUUUUUCUCCUACAAAAGGUCUAUUCACUCCCUUAAUUUAACAUUGCAUUUAAAAUCAUGUGAGAUCUGUGUUUCAUUGUCAGAUGAAGAAAAAAAGAUGUUAGUUAUUGCUUGCAGUAAUCUGAAUAAUACUAUGAGAACACACUGAACAAUGAUGAUAAGUAAUAAGCUAAUAUUUGUAUUAUGUAAUGUAAAAUUUUAAGGAGCGAUGUCGUUUUUGACUUAUAAUUACAAUAUGAAUCUAUUGAUCUCACUCCAAUAUCUGGGUUUCAACCCCAAAAAUUUAAUUUUCUGUAAAAUUACAACAUGAACUAGUCACUAGUGUUUUAGAAAUUUUAUUAAUCAACAAAAUUUAUUCGUAUAGUUAGUUAACAGAAUUUUCAUUUGGUUCAAAAACAUGAAAACAAAUUUCAUCAAAUGCAUCACAGAGGUAGGACAAUGAACCAAGGAAGGACAAUGUAACACGGAAAAAAUCAGAAAGUAUAAUUUAACCUUGAAAUCAAGAAAGUAUAAUUUAACAGUACUAAGAAAAUUAACAGUAACAAAGAUAAUUUUAAUUGUUUUACAGUUGACAAAGUGCAAAACAAUCACCAAAAUGAGUUAUUAGAAUAACUCCAAUUUUCAGAUACAUUUCAAGCUCUAACACAGCAGCACUACCGCCUUCUUUUAACACUAAUCAAUACCUUAAUCGAUAUCAUUUUCGCAAAAAAAAAAAACUGAAAUCCAAAAUUUCAUAGCGUAAACAAAAAUAUUCUCAGCCAUCAGGCAUCCGAACGUAAUCAAAGGUACAAAAAUCAAUGAUUUAGCAAAAAAAAUACAGAAAAUAAUAAAGGAGGCUAAAAACAAAGCAGAGAUGAUUUCAGAAAAUUAAAACAAUGAAUCCAGGUCUUUGUCGAUUUUUGUAAAUCACAAACGUUGAACAGAAGAAGAAGAGAGUAAAUUAAAACAAUGAAAUACCUGUAUUGAAGAUUGGGGAGGCGGAGAUAAUUUCACUGCUGCAAGCCGGAGAAGCGUCGACAAGAAGUGUGGAUCUGAUAUAUAUAGGGAAAAGGAUUCCCUGUUUUGCGGAGACCGCUCAUACCGAACGCAAUGUUGGCAUCUGUAGAGUACCAACGGAUUUGGCUUUUCGCACAACCGCUGCUCGAGUUAUGCAUCUGGAUGUUGAAGAGUGGAGGCCGAUUGUUAUUUGAACACUGAACAAGAAAGAAAAGUUUAGGGUUUAUAUAUUAGUUAAG
rnacentral:lncRNA from 1 species